rnacentral:rRNA from 1 species
UUUCGGGUGUCGCUGAUGGAUGGACCCGCGGUGCAUUAGCUAGUUGGUGAGGUAACGGCUCACCAAGGCCACGAUGCAUAGCCGACCUGAGAGGGUGAUCGGCCACAUUGGGACUGAGACACGGCCCAAACUCCUACGGGAGGCAGCAGUAGGGAAUCUUCGGCAAUGGACGAAAGUCUGACCGAGCAACGCCGCGUGAGUGAAGAAGGUUUUCGGAUCGUAAAACUCUGUUGUUAGAGAAGAACAAGGAUGAGAGUAACUGUUCAUCCCUUGACGGUAUCUAACCAGAAAGCCACGGCUAACUACGUGCCAGCAGCCGCGGUAAUACGUAGGUGGCAAGCGUUGUCCGGAUUUAUUGGGCGUAAAGCGAGCGCAGGCGGUUUCUUAAGUCUGAUGUGAAAGCCCCCGGCUCAACCGGGGAGGGUCAUUGGAAACUGGGAGACUUGAGUGCAGAAGAGGAGAGUGGAAUUCCAUGUGUAGCGGUGAAAUGCGUAGAUAUAUGGAGGAACACCAGUGGCGAAGGCGGCUCUCUGGUCUGUAACUGACGCUGAGGCUCGAAAGCGUGGGGAGCAAACAGGAUUAGAUACCCUGGUAGUCCACGCCGUAAACGAUGAGUGCUAAGUGUUGGAGGGUUUCCGCCCUUCAGUGCUGCAGCUAACGCAUUAAGCACUCCGCCUGGGGAGUACGACCGCAAGGUUGAAACUCAAAGGAAUUGACGGGGGCCCGCACAAGCGGUGGAGCAUGUGGUUUAAUUCGAAGCAACGCGAAGAACCUUACCAGGUCUUGACAUCCUUUGACCACUCUAGAGAUAGAGCUUCCCCUUCGGGGGCAAAGUGACAGGUGGUGCAUGGUUGUCGUCAGCUCGUGUCGUGAGAUGUUGGGUUAAGUCCCGCAACGAGCGCAACCCUUAUUGUUAGUUGCCAUCAUUCAGUUGGGCACUCUAGCAAGACUGCCGGUGACAAACCGGAGGAAGGUGGGGAUGACGUCAAAUCAUCAUGCCCCUUAUGACCUGGGCUACACACGUGCUACAAUGGGAAGUACAACGAGUUGCGAAGUCGCGAGGCUAAGCUAAUCUCUUAAAGCUUCUCUCAGUUCGGAUUGCAGGCUGCAACUCGCCUGCAUGAAGCCGGAAUCGCUAGUAAUCGCGGAUCAGCACGCCGCGGUGAAUACGUUCCCGGGCCUUGUACACACCGCCCGUCACACCACGAGAGUUUGUAACACCUGAAGUUCGGUGAGGUAACCUUUUGGAGGCCAGCC